UGUGGUUGUCCUAAGUCAAACUUUGUCAACUUUGACUGAGUUUGUAGAUAAAAACACCAACAUAUUUCUAAACAAAUGUAAUAAGAAAUUAUACUUAAUAGUAGCCUUAACGAUACUAGUUUGGUGUUGCUUAUGUUGGUGUUUUUUUUCUAUAAUGUCAGUCAAAGUUGAUAUAGGUUGACUUAGAACAAACCCAA
rnacentral:pre_miRNA from 1 species